rnacentral:lncRNA from 1 species
UGAUUUUAUACUUAAAAUUACAAUACAAUAAUAAAGUAAUAAACUGUAAAAUUUCCAUAAAGGUUUUACUUAUCGAAAAUGUAUGAAAUUUGAUUUCUAAACACUUCAAGUGGUAUAAAUCAUGUUCAACGAUACCGAUCGUCGAUUUAGAGGCUCAAUCAUCGAAAGCAAAUGGAUAGCAAGAGAGCCCAUUUGCUACGAAUAGUAUUCUAACUCAACCCUCUCUCUCUCUCUCUCUCUCUCUCUCUCUCUCUCUCUCUCUCUCUCUAUAUAUAUAUAUAUAUAUAUAUAGUUGAGCUAGAAUACUAUCGGUAGUAAAUGAAUCGUUUUACUACCGAUUUGUUUUCGAUGAUAGAGCUUCCAAAUUGACGAUUGGCUCCGUUAAAUAUGAUCUAAACCAUUUAAACUACCCAGAAAUCAAAUUUCACGCACUUUCGAUAUUGUUCUUUUAUCCAUCAAGUAAACAGAAAAAUGAAUGGCUGAAAAUGAAUACUCUUUAAAAAAUGAUAAUAGGAGUCUUGUAAUCAAGAUCAAGAGUAUAGAUCUUGUUUUAAAUAGUUUAAAGAAUUUUCUAACAAAAAUUCAAUUGAUUUGGAUAUCUUUACGCUGUUAAACGAGAAAACGCCUCUUAUCGACCAUUAAAAUUACAAAUUUUGAAACCCUUUGAUCAUUACGCAAAUGAUGUCGAAAAUAUUUGAAAUUUGAUUUCUAAACACUUCAAGUGGUAUAGAUCAUGUUCAACGGAGCCGAUCGUCAAUUUGGAAGUUCUAUCAUCGAAAACAAAUCGGUAGUAAAACGACUCGUUUACUGCUGAUAGUAUUCUAGCUCAACUUUAUAUAUAUAUAUAUAAUGUGAAAAAAUAAUAAAAUACUGAUAAAGUCCUCCUCAUUCUUAAAUUU